rnacentral:tRNA from 1 species
AACCCCAGCCCCUCCCCGACCCGCAACACACUCCCCCGCUCCCCACGCCCUUCGGCCCACCACCCGAGCACAGGCAGACCCUCCCGCC